rnacentral:lncRNA from 1 species
GUUAUUGCCGAAAUGUAAACACGCUUUUCACGUGGAAUGUGUAGAUACAUGGUUAGAAGCACAUUCAACUUGUCCUCUUUGCCGUUACAGAGUGGAUCCCGAAGAUAUUCUUCUCGUCUUGGAAAAUUCAUCAUCAACAACAACAUCAACAUCCACAUCAUCGCAAUUGCAAUUGAAUCAGAAUAAAAAAGAAUUAGAUGAUUUUGUAGACAUUGAAAGAGGAAGAGGAAUAGAGUAUUACCGAAAGAGACAUUCGUCGGUAGGAGAGAAGGAAUGGGAACGAGAACGAAGGAAAACGGCGUCGUUUAGAUGGUCAUUGGAUAGUUCUAGAAAGAAAAACGAGAAUGCGCAUGCGAGCGUUGGAAUCGGG